UACAUGGGGUGCAACCGUUGCUCGGAAUUAUUGGGCGUAAAGCGCACGUAGGCGGUUUGUUAAGUCGGAUGUGAAAUCCCUCGGCUCAACUGAGGAAGUGCACCCGAAACUGGCAGGCUUGAGUACUAAAGAGGGUCGCGGAAUUCCCGGUGUAGAGGUGAAAUUCGUAGAUAUCGGGAGGAACACCGGUGGCGAAGGCGGCGACCUGGGUAGAUACUGACGCUGAGGUGCGAAAGCGUGGGGAGCAAACAGG
rnacentral:rRNA from 1 species